CGGGAAUUACUUUAUUGAAACUUCGGUCGAUGUAAUUUAAUUCUAGUGGCGGACGGGUGAGUAACGCGUGGGUAACCUGCCUUAUACAGGGGGAUAACAGUCAGAAAUGGCUGCUAAUACCGCAUAAGCGCACAGAGUUGCAUGGCUCAGUGUGAAAAACUCCGGUGGUAUAAGAUGGACCCGCGUUGGAUUAGCUUGUUGGUGGGGUAACGGCCCACCAAGGCGACGAUCCAUAGCCGGCCUGAGAGGGUGAACGGCCACAUUGGGACUGAGACACGGCCCAGACUCCUACGGGAGGCAGCAGUGGGGAAUAUUGCACAAUGGGGGAAACCCUGAUGCAGCGACGCCGCGUGAAGGAAGAAGUAUCUCGGUAUGUAAACUUCUAUCAGCAGGGAAGAUAGUGACGGUACCUGACUAAGAAGCCCCGGCUAACUACGUGCCAGCAGCCGCGGUAAUACGUAGGGGGCAAGCGUUAUCCGGAUUUACUGGGUGUAAAGGGAGCGUAGACGGUGUGGCAAGUCUGAUGUGAAAGGCAUGGGCUCAACCUGUGGACUGCAUUGGAAACUGUCAUACUUGAGUGCCGGAGGGGUAAGCGGAAUUCCUAGUGUAGCGGUGAAAUGCGUAGAUAUUAGGAGGAACACCAGUGGCGAAGGCGGCUUACUGGACGGUAACUGACGUUGAGGCUC
rnacentral:rRNA from 1 species